rnacentral:rRNA from 1 species
UACAGAGGGGGCAAGCGUUAUUCGGAAUUAUUGGGCGUAAAGAGCGUGUAGGCGGUCAGGUAGGUCCGUUGUGAAAACUCGAGGCUCAACCUCGAGACGCCGAUGGAAACCAUCUGACUAGAGUCCGGAAGAGGAGAGUGGAAUUCCUGGUGUAGCGGUGAAAUGCGCAGAUAUCAGGAAGAACACCCGUGGCUAAGGCGGCUCUCUAGUACGGUACUGACGCUGAGACGCGAAAGCGUGGGGAGCGAACAGG